UAUACGCACAUCCCGAUAUUCAUUGGAGAAAUGUUGGAGGGUAUGCAACCCGUAUCCUGCCACCAACACCUCAAAUUUUAUUCAAGAUUUAGCCUUUCCAGAAGUAAUCCCACGAAGUAAAAUAAACCUGUGGCAAUUAUCCCACUUGUGGCAUCUCAGCGAUCCAUCUGCAAAUUAAGCCCUUGUCUGGAAGCACCCUAUAUCCAGAAGGCAAAUGUAAAUGUUGCUGAAUGGGUACAGAAAGCCACUGGAGAAUAAUCUUCACCAAUGUGCAAUGAAGGGAGAUGUUCAUGCAGUUAUCCAGGCUUGUUGUGGAAGAGGAAUGCUGGAUAUAUACAGUACUAGCAGAGGGUAAGCAGCCAUCAGUUUAAUUCCUACUGUAAUAGGGCCCAUAGUGUGAAAUUUGCAAGAUUUAUUUAUUUUUUUAAAAAUGCUAUUCUUUCAUAUGCUCCAGGUUCUGAGUUCCAGGAAUCAGAUGGCUCCACAGAGUCCUGGAACGAGAGCCACUAUGGACUCUCAUCCUUGGACUAAGGCAGGGCAGUGGGCAACUUGGCUGAGCUUGCUCAGCUUCACAAAGGAUAAUAACAAAGAGCAUUCUGGGAACUGUAGUUGAGAGACCAUUGCAUAAAACUCCAUUUUAUUUCCUGUCUCAGACUCCUCUCUUCAAAAUGUGAUCCCUUCAACAGCAUAGAUUCUAGCAGCGCAAGGCAAUUUAAGGGAGACAACUAUAUUUUACGAACAUUUAAAGCGCUUUGAAGGAGACUUCCUUUUCUAUGAGCAGCCUCAUGGGGAUGUGGAUAAACGAUGUGGAGCCCUCAGGUGUUCUACCGACCCUUCACGCAAUACCUUAUGUUGCCUUCAGCAUGAAGUUCCAGAUUCAACAGAGUGACUUUACCUUCUCUGACUGAAGGCACUAACUGACAGGCUUGCUCUUAAGAGCAUGGGGUGUGGGUGUGCAAAGGGGGCUUCAGAAUGGGAGGAGGCCUGGAAAUGUGGCUGGUCAGUGUGCAAAGGAGAGUUGAGAACAAUGAGCAGGAGGAGGGGGUUGCAAAAAGAGAGGAAGCAGGAGGUAUGGGAAUGUGGUUGAAGAUGAGAGCAGGGGCAUGAGAGCUUCUGCAGAACAGGAAAGAUUGGUGGCUUCAUAGCUGGGUGGAAAGUGAAAUGGGUGCUUUGUAGCUGCGCUGUGUGGGAGGAGGAAGAUGCAGGCAGGGCCAGCCCAAGACAUUUUGUUACCUGAGGCGAACCACAAAAUGACACACACACACACACACACACACACGGAAAGGAGGAGUGAGUGAAGAUCUGCAUCAGGGACCAGGCGGAAAGGCAGAUCUGGACUUCAAGGAGUGUGCUGCUGCCACAGAGCAGCAGGUGAUGCAUUCCUUGGAGGCAGGAUCUGCUGCCCCUAUGGAUCUUGCCACCCGAGGCAGUUGCCUCACCUUGCCUCAUGAGUGAGCCGGCCCCGGAUGCAGAAGGUUACCAUGGAGGGUGGUUUGUGUGCAAGGGUAAAGGUAAAGGUAAAGGUACCCCUGACCAUUAGGUCCAGUCGUGACCGACUCUGGGGUUGCGGUGCUCAU